rnacentral:rRNA from 1 species
GAUGAACGCUGGCGGCGUGCCUAAUACAUGCCAGUCGAGCGAACGGACGAGAAGCUUGCUUCUCUGAUGUUAGCGGCGGACGGGUGAGUAACACGUGGAUAACCUACCUAUAAGACUGGGAUAACUUCGGGAAACCGGAGCUAAUACCGGAUAAUAUUUUGAACCGCAUGGUUCAAAAGUGAAAGACGGUCUUGCUGUCACUUAUAGAUGGAUCCGCGCUGCAUUAGCUAGUUGGUAAGGUAACGGCUUACCAAGGAAACGAUGCAUAGCCGACCUGAGAGGGUGAUCGGCCACACUGGAACUGAGACACGGUCCAGACUCCUACGGGAGGCAGCAGUAGGGAAUCUUCCGCAAUGGGCGAAAGCCUGACGGAGCAACGCCGCGUGAGUGAUGAAGGUCUUCGGAUCGUAAAACUCUGUUAUUAGGGAAGAACAUAUGUGUAAGUAACUGUGCACAUCUUGACGGUACCUAAUCAGAAAGCCACGGCUAACUACGUG